rnacentral:lncRNA from 1 species
UGCGACUGCAGCAGUGCAGCUGGGAAAGAAGAGAAGGAAAGGAAGAAGAAGAGAAAGGAAAAGGGAAGAAGAGAGGAAGAGGAGAAGGGGAGGCAGCUGUGGCAGUGGCAGCUGCAGCUGCAGCUGGAAGAGAAGGAGAGGAAAUAGAGCAAGGGAGGAAGAAGAGGCUGCGGCUGUGGUGGCUGCGGCCAUGGCUGCGACUGCGACUACGGCAGUUGUAGCUGGGAAAGAAAAGAAAGGAAAGGGGGAAAAAGGGGAUGCGGACGGGAUUGCGGCCGCAGUGGCAGCGACUGCGUAUGCAGCAGUUAUGUCUGCGAGAGAAGGGAGGAAGGAAAGUAGUGCGGUGGAAGGGGCUGCGAUUGUGGCAGCGGCGGCGGCUGUGGCCGCUGCGUUUGGGAAAGAAAAAGAAGGAAUGAGAGUAAGAGAGAGCAGGUGACUGUGCCUCGAUGUUCGACACGUGGUGUAGUUGCGAAGAAAGAAAGAAAAUGAGUGCACAAAACGAAACAGGGAGGGGAUGGAGGAAAAGUAGAAAAAGGAUUCGAGCGUACACCUUCUUCGAAUCUUUGGAUCAAAACCUUCAAAAGGCAAGUUUGCCGAUCGUUUCUCCUGUUAUUGUUCUAAUCUUUCCUAUUGCAAGUGUCUUGAUAUUUCCUUACUGUAAUUCUAUCUCUACAUUUGAUUUGAAUACGAGGAACUUUGAAUUGUUCUAGCCUUGCAUUUGAUAUAUCUCUUGUUUAGACAUAUCGAUCCGAAUCUGUGCAACGUCUGAGAUUCUGACCUUUCUACCUUGUUAUGAUUAUAACUUCGUGUAUUGACCUCUGAUUUGGACAAAAAUUAUUUGAUCAUAAUAUAGACUCAUAAACCUUUCUUUUGAUAGCUUUCUUGAGUAUAUUGGAGCACCAUUGAUAGUUUGAAUCAUUUGUUCAAUGUGCCUCUUGUAUUCUGUCAGAAAUUGAGCUUUGGUCAAUUUCUCAUAUUCUGGUUUCAUUCCUUUGAAAAUUGAUAUCCUUUAGCUUUCUUAUUCAAUUGAGCUUUAUAUUACUACUUUGAAUUCUUGUAUGCUCUUGUCCUACAUGUUUUUGGAUACCUAAUUAUGUUAUGUAAAUUUCAUGUUUGUAUCGUAAUGUUUCAUAAAGGCACAUAUACAUUUCGUUGUUCCGCAUGUGCUUCCGAUAUGUCCCAAUUUAUUGUUCACAAUACCCUUUUGUACUCUGGUGUUUGUGGGAUUAUUUGGACCUUUGCCAGAAAUGGUAAAGGGUAUGUGCUUAGAGCCCGCGAUGCUCUAGAUUAUGUUUGGUGGUCAUUCAAAAAUGGAUGGACCAUAUUAUGUUUGGAAUCCCACUUCACCAUCUAUCUGUUUGAUAUGAAAUUCAGAGCCGACCUAGCACUUGUGUAGGGUGAGAGGGCUCGAGUAGGAAAGGGCUACCCAUGGAUGGAGUCGAGAACUCAUCACGGCGUGGAGCCACCACUGAGUUAAACCUCACAUGCACUAUGCUAGGGUACGACGUCUGAGCUUCUAUUUCGUAUUCUUUCUUUGAUAUGCUUCGAAAUGGUCCAUAUACCAUUGAUAUGUUCCGAAAUGUUUCAUUUAUCAUUGAUAUGCUCCGAAACAUUUCAUACGCCUUUGAUAUGCUCCGAAAUGUUUUAUUUGUUAUUGUUACGCUUCGAAAUGUUCCAUAUGUCAUUGAUACGCUCCGGAACAUUUCAUAUGCUAUUGAUAUGCUCCAGUUACUCUGUGCUCCAUUUGCUAUGAACUGAUAUGUUCUGAAAUGUCCUAUCUACCAUUGAUAUGCUCCGGAACAUCUCGUACGCUAUUGAUAUGCUCCAAUUACUCUAUGCUCAAUCUGUUAUGAACCAAAUAGGUUUUGAAUGACAUAACACAUUAUUUUGUAUCUAUUGAGAUGGUAUCCUUGAGAAUUCUUGUAUUUUGCCUUGCAUUAUGAUAUCUUACUUGUUUGAAACCGUUCCUUUUGUUCUGAAUAUGUUUUGUUACUUGCUGAGCUGUUUUUAGCUCACUCCGUUAUUAUAUAAAUCUUUCAGGUCAGCUUGUCACUCUUUGAGAUGUUUGAAUUGGGCUGAGGCAGUGGAGAGCUAUUCUGAAUUAUGGGCAAGUCUU